AGUACGGCGAGUGAACAGGCAAGAGCUCAGAUUUGAAAGCCUUUCGGGGCAUUGUAUUCUGAAGCCUUGAUUCUGAGAACCGGUACCUAAGUCUUCUGGAAAGGAGCGCCAAGGAGGGUGAUAGCCCCGUACGGUACUGACCUCAUUGUAGAAUCUUGGCGUGGAGUCGAGUUGUUUGGGAAUGCAGCUCAAAUGGGUGGUAUGCUCCAUCUAAAGCUAAAUAUCUGCGAGAGACCGAUAGCGAACAAGUACUGUGAAGGAAAGAUGAAAAGAACUUUGAAAAGAGAGUGAAAAAGUACGUGAAAUUGUUGAAAUGGAAGGAUAGGCCGCUAACCACGUAGAGCCGUGUCUGAGGGGAGGAUAAAAGCUGUAGAAUGUGGCUCUUCGGAGUGUUAUAGCUGCAGUGCAUACUCCCACUCGGGCGCGAGGACCUAAGGCUCUGCUAAAUGGUGGUCUAUCACCCGUCUUGAAC
rnacentral:rRNA from 1 species